CAACCCGUUCGUGUCCACUGUGCCGCCGACUCCCUUACUGUGCGCCACUUCGCUUGAGUCCCCGAACCAGCGCCGCGAUGAUCCUUCGCCCAAGCUCACGGCGACGAGUGGUUCACCGCAGCCUCACCGAAGCCUCUCAGUCCCCUACCCUCGUCUAUAGUAUCACCGGGGUUCUCCUCUCCGGAUUUCUACGCCGUGCAAAGAACCCUCAGCUGGGUGAGGAGGUUGGAGCUCGGUAGACACCGGAAUUGGAUCGUCUGCUCUAGAGCUAGAUAGUGGCGAGGACUGGUACUCCGGGUGGCUAUCUCGUCUUCCCAAGGCUUAGGGCUGAGCUGAGUUCGUUGGAUACUUCUUCUCCGUCGGGCUUUCCUUCGCCGACUGUGGGGGAUUUCUCCAUUAAGGGUCUUGCUGUGAGGGGCUCGAACACCAUUCCCAAUAGCUGUUCUUCGUUUGAGAACCAUUAGCCCUGUAAAAGCUUGGUUGGGUGAUCUGUGGCAGUAGACUCCACUAGCGAGCACUUUGCCAGCAAUUCCACUUUCGAACAGAGGGUUAACGGAAGGGAUUUUUGCUCUAAGGUAGCCAUUAGUUGAUGCCAGUAUGCUUGGAGGAGGAUCCCGACUGCCAGUCCCACGUCGUUUCCGAGGACGGAUUUCUGAUUUUGUUUAUCUUUCGGGUUGUGAGUUGAACCUUUGAACUUGGUGUUAUAAUAACCCAUUUGGGGACUUGAUGUUAUUCUGUGAUUGGUUUUGCUUUGUCGAGGAGUCAAGCCGAGCCGGCCCGCAGUGAGUUUCUUUUGGUAUUUUGGUACUUA